UUACAAUCUACUUGCUUCAUCUCGUCUUACAAGAAUAACCUUGGUAACUCUAAGGCUAAUGCUUGCAGAGAGCGGAAGGGCACUCGGUGCAGUCCAAACAGUUUAACGACAAGGUCGUCACACGGGUCUAUUGUAGUCAUCGCGCACAGAGUAGUUUGUUAACUGUAUAACCCCAUAAAGUGUACUAUUCAUACACUAAGGGGGUAGAGCUUUCGAGUUUCUGAGCCAUCAACCUAAGAUGGUAGUGUAACGGACUACCAUGGUUGUGACGGCUAACGGGGAAUCUGGGUUCGAUUCCGGAGAGGCAGCCCGAGAAACGGCUACCACAUCCAAGGAAGGCAGCAGGCACGGAAAUUACCCACUUCUAGCGCGGAGAGGUAGUGACUAGUAAUAACAGGAUGAGCCCUUCGGGGCGAACCCUGGACUGGUGAGGAGGUAUAAAUACCUCAGUAAUUCUAGCUCAGGGCAAGUCUGGUGCCAGCCGCCGCGGUAACACCAGCCUGAGCAAGCGUAUGCUUUAGUUGCUGCGUUUAAAAAGCUCAUAGUUGGAUCUAUUGGGAACAGUACUGCUCGAAGGAUCGCCAUGUGCUUUCCGGGUGCUGGCGUCCCAUCGGCCUUAUUAGGCAGUUUGCACUUCAUUGUGUACAACUGACCGAAAAAAGGAGCAAACCUUGAGAAAAUUAGAGUGCUCAAGGCGAGUUUUGGCAUUGAAUUUUAAAGCAUGGUAUAAUGGAGAUGGCCAUAAUCAGGGCGUGAGUCCAGACGGUAAUGAUUAAAAGGAACAGGCGGGGGCAUUUGUAUUGUUGGGGGAGGGGUGAAAUCCGUAGAUCCCAGCAAGACAAACUACUGCGAAAGCAUUUGCCAAGAAUGUUUUCAUUAAUCAAGAACGAAAGUUAGAGUAUUGAAGAGGAUUAGAUACCCUCGUAAUUCUAACCUUAAACUAUACCAUCUUACGCUUGGUCAAUGUAUUUAUACUUGACCAGGAGUACACCGGGAAACCAAAGACAUUUGGUUACGGGGGGAGUAUGGUUGCCAAAUCGAAACUUAAAGGAAUUGACGGAGGGGCACCACCAGGAGUGGAGCCUGCGGCUUAAUUUGACUCAACACGGGGAAACCCACCAGGUCCAGACAUCUUAAGGAUUGACAGAUAGAAUCUCUUUCACGAUUAGAUGGGCGGUGGUGCAUGGCCGUUCUUAGUUAGUGGAGUGAUCUGUCUGGUUAAUUCCGAUAACUAACGAGAUCUCAUCCAUCUAACUAGUAGAUAUUAAUUUAUUAAUAUCAAGACUUCUUAGAGGGACCACGUACUAUAUAAUAGUACGAGUGAAGUGAGGUUAUAACAGGUCUGUGAUGCCCUUAGAUGUCCUGGACCGCACGCGCGCUACAAUGAUAGCUUUAAUGGGUUUAUCUAACCUAAGCCGAGAUGGUUUUGGGAAAUCGUUAAAAGUAUCUCGAUUCUUAGUGGGGAUCAACUCUUGUAACUAGUAGUUGUGAACUAGGAAUUCCUGGUACUUAGAUUUCACCAGAAUCUAGGGAUUACGUCCCUGCCCUUUGUACACACCGCCCGUCGCUACUACUGAUUGGACGGUUAAGCUAGAUGCUGGGAAGCCUUCUUUUGACACUUCGGUGGCAACUGAAGGACGAACAGUUUCAAGCUGAACUGGCUAGA
rnacentral:rRNA from 1 species